GCUCAGGAUGAACGCUGGCGGUAUGCUUAACACAUGCAAGUCGAACGGUCUCUUCGGAGAUAGUGGCGGACGGGUGAGUAACGCGUGAGAAUCUGCCUCUAGGUCGGGGACAACAGUUGGAAACGRCUGCUAAUCCCGGAUGAGCCKRAMGGUAAAAGAUUUAUUGCCUAGAGAAGAGCUCGCGUCCGAUUAGUUAGUUGGUGGGGUAAAGGCCUACCAAGACAGCGAUCGGUAGCUGGUCUGAGAGGACGAUCAGCCACACUGGGACUGAGACACGGCCCAGACUCCUACGGGAGGCAGCAGUGGGGAAUUUUCCGCAAUGGGCGAAAGCCUGACGGAGCAAUACCGCGUGCGGGAGGAAGGCCCUUGGGUCGUAAACCGCUUUUAUCAGGGAAGAAGUUCUGACGGUACCUGAUGAAAAAGCCUCGGCUAACUCCGUGCCAGCAGCCGCGGUAAUACGGAGGAGGCAAGCGUUAUCCGGAAUUAUUGGGCGUAAAGCGUCCGCAGGUGGUAUUGUAAGUCUGCUGUCAAAGACAGAAGCUCAACUUCUGAAAGGCAGUGGAAACUGCAAAACUAGAGUACAGUAGGGGUAGAGGGAAUUCCCAGUGUAGCGGUGAAAUGCGUAGAGAUUGGGAAGAACACCGGUGGCGAAGGCGCUCUGCUGGGCUGUAACUGACACUGAGGGACGAAAGCUAGGGGAGCGAAUGGGAUUAGAUACCCCAGUAGUCCUAGCCGUAAACGAUGGAAACUAGGCGUGGCUUGUAUCGACCCGAGCC
rnacentral:rRNA from 1 species